rnacentral:lncRNA from 1 species
GAGUCUGUUUUCAUCUCCACAAUGGAGGUGGUGAUGCCCAGCACACGGAGCUGUGAUGAGGAUUUAAUGGGGAAUCCAGAGCAUUUAUGGAAGUGCCAGGAGGCCAAGAUUCUGCAUAGGUAGGAAGGACCUAAGCCAGAGGGGUGUGGGUGGCCAGAGGAGAGAGCCUACCUUAGUAGGGCUUGGUAGGCUAAGGUCUGGGCUGAAUCUCGAGGCUCUGGAGCUUAGAACAGCAUCUGCAACUCCCUGGCUGUCGGGGUUCAGGCAAGGACUGCCUCCUCUCUGAGUGUCAGUUUCCCCAUCUAUAAAUGGAAAGCUGGGACACUGAAAAACACUGGGGGGGAGGGUGGUUCCUGAGGCAGUCUCUCUCCACACAUCACAGGAAUGUGGCGCCCCAGGGAGAAGGCAUCUUUGUCCAUUGUGUUCACUUCUGCAUCUCCAGUGCCCAGAACAGUGCUUGCAUGCAGUAGAUGCUCAAUAAAUGUUCAUUGAAUGAAUCAGCAGCAACCAAUUCGCCCACCUCACAUCCUAAGUCCGCUGGGGACGUAGGCCCACCUCUCCAGGGAAACUGUCUGCAGAUUGGGACCACACCUCAGGUCACAAGCAUUUCCUGAGCACCUACUGUAUGCAUGGCUCUGCGCAGCCCGGGGCAGACCCUUGCUCCACAGCCCGACAGGGCAGAGCCAAGGAGGCAGGUGACAGACACAGUGAUUUGGGAAGAAGAACAGAGAGCAGGGUGGCCAGCAGGGCCUUGCCUGGGUGGGAGCAGGCCGUUCCCAGGCUGGAGCUCAGGCUGAUGGGAGCCCCAGCUUGCCUGUUCCUGGGAGGGUGGGACUGCCUCUUCCUCUUUCUUUCUCUGAAAACAAAAAUUGUUUUCCCUUAAAUUUACAAGUAUUAAAAGUUUGGAAAAUACACAAUAAUCAAAAGAAUAUAAAAUAAAGGUUACCUGCCAUCAUGGCGGACCACACAGUAUUAACUACUAUGGACUUUUCAGUGUUUCCCUCUAGUCUUUUUUCUGAGGUGGCUUUGCUCUCAGAGGUGGCUUUCUCUCCCCCUGGGAAGGGAUAUAGCUGCUCUGUAGGAGAUGUGGGGGCACCAGGCUCUCUCCAUGGGCUCUUUAUCACUUCUGACUUGGAGGUCCUUUCUCCACCCCCCCUGGACCUAGCACCUCUUCCCGAGACACAGGGGUGCGAAGAGCUGGGGGAGGUACGUCAGCAGGCCUCCCCUCCUGCCCCUGCUUACCCCACGGAGGUGGGGUGGGACAGAACUCAGGCUUGAGGAAGGAGCACUGGAGGCCAAGCCACAGGUGCUGGUCCUCAGCCCUGGUGCCCAGGCAAGUUGGGUUUGGGAAUAGGGGCAUGACCAAAAUGGACCCCUCCUUUCCUCCCCACCCCUUUCCACUCCAUCCGCCUUUCCCUUUGCGUUCUCCAAGCGUUCCGUCCCCCAGAUGCCCUCUGUUUCCUCUGCUCCAGCCUUUUAACUCCUCUCAACAAAGGCCAAGGAAUCAGGCAGACUGUGGACACUCAGGUGUGCAUGAUGGGAAGGGACCUGCAUUUACAAAAGCUCCCCCCCACAGGGACUGCAUGUGCUGGUGGAAUCUCAGUCACCAUGUCCCACGUUGAAGGAUGUUUGGAGGGGGCUGACUUUGGUCACCCUUCAAAUCAUAAGUUAUAUGCGUCUGCCCUUUCCGCCCACACUGAGAAGGGCUGAAUAUCACCUGUGAGCCUGCCCCUGCUCCCAAGAACACCCUUUGGACACCUGUGGGCUCUGCAAGGUUGGUGUAACCCCUACAGAUGAGGAAACCAGAGACAGAGAAGUGAAGUAACUCAUGCAGGUGACGGCAGAGGGCAGAGUCAGGACUUGAACCUGGAGAGCCUGGCUCUAAAGCCCAAGCUGGAAUCUCGAUACUCUACACCUCGAUAAGUUUUUGGGAAAUGACUGACUAAACAGAUGAACGCGUUUGCCCCCCCGCCGCCCCAGAGCCCCCUUAAAGCCUACAUGUGGCAGUUUGGGCCCAUUUCCUUGGCUUCCCUCCCUGGAGGGGCACCCACUGCCAGUGUCCCUGCUGAAAUUUAGCAUCAUAUUCCAUGGCGAUUUUCCACCAGUGGAAAUCACAGGUGUUCUCUGGUAUCACAGCGGGGUCAGGGAUGACCUGAAAUAUUGUUCAUGCUCAUCACAACUGCAUGGCCCACCGCGGGGUCUUGUCACUCAGUGAGUUCUUGAAGAGGCACAGACAAAUGGAGUUCAACAAAUGGAAAACAACUGCCUUUAAUUAGCUCCGAGGACUACAAAGGGAACAACGUUAUAAUAGCAGCAACUCCAAGGAAGCAGCCACAGCUCUCAGCUCUCAGACCUGGGGCUGCCGCUCAUCAUCAGCUACAGCUAGGUUUGAUGGGAGUGCCCCCAUUUCAGGGGACAGCAGGCCCCCUUCACUCCCCGACUCAGUCCCCAUCUGCAGCAGCACAGCCUUCCUUGGCCUCACCAGGGAAGAAGAACAGGCCCCGCUCUCAGACAAGCCUUCCCAGAAGCCUGAGGACUCAAACACCCAAAUGUGUCUGGGUCCCUGCCCCGAGCCGGCCACCCAGGCAGCAGCCCUGAAUCACUCGGUCAGCCAGCGGCAGGGCAGGCCAAUGGGCUGGAGGGUAGGCAGGCAGGCAGACCCACCUCUGCAUCUCUGCUGACUGCCUCGGCUGAGGAAAGGCAGCACCAGCCCCCAACCCUGAAGUUCUAGAUCUCAUGCAGCCUCUCUGUUCUGGAACCAUCCAGAGGCACUGCCCUUAUACAUGGUCCACCCCCAGGCUCAGACAAUGAGAAUUCCACAAGCAGAGGGGACUCUAUUUGGGGCACAGAGAGGUUAAGUAACUCCCCUCCUAAGGUCUCUCAGCAAGGAAGCCACUGAGCCGUGGGACUUGAGCUCAGGGACUCUUGAUCCCCAGUCUCAGGUGUCACAGCCCCAUCUGGGCUCCUGCUAGGGAGGAGGAAGGCAGCAGGGGGUGUCUGAGGCCAGGGUGCAUCAGCCCUAAAUGCCAGACAGAGGCAGGAGAAGUCUCCCCAUGAGUCCCAGCCCCAUUAGAGGCUCCAGGUCGGGGAUCCCAGACCCCCUAUCCUUGCUGGGAGACACAACCCAGAACUCUGCAUCCCUGCAGCCACCAAAAAAGGCAAAAGCUGCCCAGAAACACUUUCUCCUCUUCCGUGGCCAAAUCCACGAACUUUCUCGAGGUCUGUCCCCCUGCCCCGUGCAGGUCCAGCUUCAGUGCAGCCCAGCUCUGUGCAGUUUUCCACAAAAGCCUGUGGCUUCCUUCUCCUCCCUCUGCUUCUGAUACCCCAGGAGUUACACACAAAAUGUUGGCGGUGGUCUCCAGGAAGACCCCUGCAUCCCACAGCUCUCCCCAGAAGUUGCCAGCAGUGACCUCCUGAGCCCAGGUGGGGAGUCCCAGGCAGGACAGGGGCUGGGGCUGCAGGCCCUGGGGCCCUGUUAGUGAAGCAGCAAGCCGAGGGUCCCUGAGAGUUUCCCUUGGCCCCUCUGAGGGCUGCCCUUUGAGGUCUUGAGGUCUUGGAGUAUCCAUCGCCCCCACGGCUUACUGUCCCCACCAGCGGAGGAUGAAAGUGCCACAGCGAUGUUCCACGCCAAGAGACCACAGAGACCACCAACCCCUCUUCCCACCUCAGGCUUUCAGAGGCCAGCGGAUUUAGGCGGACAGGCUGUGCGCUUGAGGGCAGCCAGGGCGGUCAGUGGAGGGACGUGGUCCGGGGCCUGGCCACAGCUCCCCACCCAGGGCCCUGGGCUAUUGUUACUCACCGCGGAUGAAGGUCGGCGAGUAGGUCGGGAAGGAGUCGAAGAUGCUGUUCGAUGCCAUGCCCCGCUCUGAAGAAGGCCAGGCUGCGAGGCCCAGGGUGGUGACGC